rnacentral:rRNA from 1 species
CCUACGGGUGGCAGCAGUGGGGAAUAUUGGACAAUGGGCGAAAGCCUGAUCCAGCCAUGCCGCGUGUGUGAAGAAGGCCUUCGGGUUGUAAAGCACUUUCAGUGGGGAAGAAAGCCUUGGGGCUAAUACCCUCGAGGAAGGACAUCACCCACAGAAGAAGCACCGGCUAACUCCGUGCCAGCAGCCGCGGUAAUACGGAGGGUGCGAGCGUUAAUCGGAAUUACUGGGCGUAAAGCGCGCGUAGGCGGUCUGAUAAGCCGGUUGUGAAAGCCCCGGGCUCAACCUGGGAACGGCAUCCGGAACUGUCAGGCUAGAGUGCAGGAGAGGAAGGUAGAAUUCCCGGUGUAGCGGUGAAAUGCGUAGAGAUCGGGAGGAAUACCAGUGGCGAAGGCGGCCUUCUGGACUGACACUGACGCUGAGGUGCGAAAGCGUGGUAGCAAACAGGAUUAGAUACCCCUGUAGUC